rnacentral:rRNA from 1 species
AGCAGCCGCGGUAAUUCCAGCUCCAAUAGCGUAUAUUAAAGUUGUUGCAGUUAAAAAGCUCGUAGUUGAAUUUCGGGAUCAAGGUGCCGGUCAUGCCUUUGGUAUGUACUGACAUCAUUGAUUUCUCCCUUCUGAUGAACUGUGAUGUCAUUAAUUUGGUGUCAUGGAGAAUCAGGACUGUUACUUUGAAAAAAUUAGAGUGUUUAAAGCAAGCACACGCUUGAAUACAUUAGCAUGGAAUAAUGAAAUAGGACGUUUGAUCCUAUUUUGUUGGUUUCUAGGAUCGACGUAAUGAUUAAUAGGGAUAGUUGGG